GCAAGUCGAACGCGAACGUUUCCUUCGGGAAACGAGUAGAGUGGCGCACGGGUGAGUAACGCGUAAGUAAUCUACCCUCGCAUUUGGGAUAACCCACCGAAAGGUGUGCUAAUACCGGAUACGUCUAUUUUAAUAGUUGUUUUGUAGAGAAAGGUGGCCUCUGAUUUAAGCUACUGUGCGGGGAGGAGCUUGCGUACCAUUAGCUAGUUGGUAGGGUAAUGGCCUACCAAGGCAAUGAUGGUUAGCGGGUCUGAGAGGAUGAUC
rnacentral:rRNA from 1 species